CCCCUCUCAGGGUUGCACCUGGAGAGUUUCCAUUACUCUACCAGUCACGACUACAGGAGGGGAGAGUCAAGCAGAGGCUUACCCAUUCCAUUCCUGGCUUGGGCAAGACUAGUGAUUGGAAGGCAAUCUGCUACAAGU
rfam:Ornithorhynchus anatinus chromosome 12, whole genome shotgun sequence.